GGGGUAAAGGCUCACCAAGGCAACGAUCAGUAGCGGGUCUGAGAGGAUGAUCCGCCACACUGGGACUGAGACACGGCCCAGACUCCUACGGGAGGCAGCAGUGGGGAAUUUUGGACAAUGGGCGCAAGCCUGAUCCAGCCAUGCCGCGUGUCUGAAGAAGGCCUUCGGGUUGUAAAGGACUUUUGUCCGGGAGCAAAUCCCAGUGGUUAAUACCUACUGGGGCUGAGAGUACCGGAAGAAUAAGCACCGGCUAACUACGUGCCAGCAGCCGCGGUAAUACGUAGGGUGCAAGCGUUAAUCGGAAUUACUGGGCGUAAAGCGUGCGCAGGCGGUUGUGCAAGUCUGAUGUGAAAGCCCCGGGCUUAACCUGGGAACGGCAUUGGAGACUGCACGACUAGAGUGCGUCAGAGGGGGGUAGAAUUCCGCGUGUAGCAGUGAAAUGCGUAGAGAUGCGGAGGAAUACCGAUGGCGAAGGCAGCCCCCUGGGAUGACACUGACGCUCAUGCACGAAAGCGUGGGGGAGCAAACAGGAUUAG
rnacentral:rRNA from 1 species